GCUGCACAUUGUUAGAACUUGGAGAUGAGGUUGCUAGCUGGCCAAUGAACUCACAAGCAUAAGUAGUGUGCUACAUGAGGAACAAGACUUUCACUGACUCCACAGGGAUCUGUGGGCCAAAGAGUGGAGUUUGAUAGUAAUUCUUGCUACAAGU